rnacentral:misc_RNA from 1 species
CGCACCUUGCACCCUUUGGUAUUCCGAAGGGUAUGCCUGUUUGAGUGUCAUUAAAUUCUCAACCUUCUGUGAUCUUUUUUGAUCACAAAGGCUUGGAUUGUGGAGGUCAGUGCUGGCUUAUUGUGUCGGCUCCUCUGAAAUGCAUUAGCGCUCCCAUGUGGAUUAGGCUUUGGACUGAUAAUUAUCAUCUAUGCCAAUAGCAUUAUGACACUUGAGUGACUUGUAUAUUACAUUUGACAAUUUGACCUCAAAUCAGGUAGGACUACCCGCUGAACUUAA